rnacentral:rRNA from 1 species
AGUGAACGCUGGCGGUAGGCCUAACACAUGCAAGUCGAACGGCAGCACAGUAAGCGCUUGCUCUUACGGGUGGCGAGUGGCGGACGGGUGAGGAAUACAUCGGAAUCUACUUUUUCGUGGGGGAUAACGUAGGGAAACUUACGCUAAUACCGCAUACGACCUACGGGUGAAAGCAGGGGAUCUUCGGACCUUGCGCGAUUGAAUGAGCCGAUGCCGGAUUAGCUAGUUGGGGGGGUAAAGGCCCACCAAGGCGACGAUCCGUAGCUGGUCUGAGAGGAUGAUCAGCCACACUGGAACUGAGACACGGUCCAGACUCCUACGGGAGGCAGCAGUGGGGAAUAUUGGACAAUGGGCGCAAGCCUGACCCAGCCAUACCGCGUGGGUGAAGAAGGCCUUCGGGUUGUAAAGCCCUGUUGUUGGGAAAGAAAAGCAGCAGGUUAAUACCCCGCUGUUCUGACGGUACCUAAAGAAUAAGCACCGGCUAACUUCGUG